UAACAAUGAUUUCCCUAGUAACGGCGAGUGAAGAGGAAAGAGCUCAAAGUUGGAAACUGUUUGGCUUAGCUAAACCGUAUUGUAAACUGUAGAAACAUUUUCCUGGCACACCAGAUUAAUAAGUCCUUUGGAACAAGGCAUCAUGGAGGGUGAGAAUCCCGUCUUUGAUCUGAGUAGUUGUCUUUUGUGAUAUGUUUUCAAAGAGUCAGGUUGUUUGGGAAUGCAGCCUAAAUUGGGUGGUAAAUCUCACCUAAAGCUAAAUAUUUGCGAGAGACCGAUAGCGAACAAGUACCGUGAGGGAAAGAUGAAAAGAACUUUGAAAAGAGAGUUAAACAGUAUGUGAAAUUGUUAAAAGGGAACCGUUUGGAGCCAGACUGGUUUGCCUGUAAUCAACCUAGAAUUCGUUUUGGGUGCACUUGCAGGCUAUACCUGCCAACAACAGUUUGAUUUGGAGGAAAAAAUUAGUAGGAAUGUAGCCUCUCGAGGUGUUAUAGCCUACUAUCAUACUCUGGAUUGGACUGAGGAACGCAGCGAAUGCCUUUAGGCAAGAUUGCUGGGUGCUUUCGCUAAUAAAUGUUAGAAUUUCUGCUUCGGGUGGUGCUAAUGUUUAAAGAAGGAACACAUCUAGUAUAUUUUUUAUUCGCUUAGGUUGUUGGCUUAAUGACUCUAAAUGAC
rnacentral:rRNA from 1 species